rnacentral:misc_RNA from 1 species
GAUGAAGAACGUAGCGAAAUGCGAUACUUGGUGUGAAUUGCAGAAUCCCGUGAACCAUCGAGUCUUUGAACGCAAGUUGCGCCUCAAGCCAUUAGGUUGAGGGCACGUCUGCCUGGGCGUCACAUAUCGUUGCCUGAUGCCAGUUUCCUCGUGAUGGGUGACUGUGCAGGGCGAAUGAUGGCUUCCCGUGAGCAUUGUUGCCUCAUGGUUGGUUGAAAAUUGAGUCCUUGGUAGGGAGCGCCGUGAUAGAUGGUGGUUGAGUGACGAACGAGACCCAAUCAUGUGAGACCCCUACCGAAUUUGGCCUUCAUGACCCACAUGCGUCUUUGGAACGCUCAUGACGAGACCUCAGGUCAGGCGGGGCUACCCGCUGAAUUUAAGCAUAUCAGUAAGCGGAGGA